GUCUUCCUCUGAGGAGCGUCAACUGGCGUGUCGCUUGUCAUUAAAGCAGCAAAAGGCUACAGUCACAGAGCCUCCGUGUGGCAAAAGUUAGGAAAUAUCUAACCAAUACAAGGUGGAAUUAAAAUUACGGAAUAAAAAGUUAAAGGAGAAGGAUAGACUACAACGACCAAGAGCCAACAGCAUGUCGUGGGCGGAGCCGGAAGGGUCGUCAGCGAAAUGGGACACCUGUGCUCGGGUGUGUUCCAGGAUAAAUGCACCUCUUCCCUAUU
rnacentral:lncRNA from 1 species